GUCGGGUGUAGAGGCGCAUACCUGUAAUCCCAGCAGCUCUGGAGGCUAAGGCUGGAGGAUCACAAGUUCAAAGCCAGCCUCAGCAAAAGCAAGGCACUAAGCAACUCAGUGAGACCCUGUCUCUA
rnacentral:sRNA from 1 species